UAAUACGGAGGGUGCGAGCGUUGUCCGGAAUCACUGGGCGUAAAGGGCGCGUAGGUGGCUUCUCAAGCGCGCGGUGAAAGCCCGGGGCUCAACCCCGGGUCGGCCGUGCGGACUGGGAGGCUCGAGCACUGUAGGGGCGGGUGGAAUUCCGGGUGUAGCGGUGGAAUGCGUAGAGAUCCGGAAGAAC
rnacentral:rRNA from 1 species